rnacentral:tmRNA from 1 species
GGGGCUGUCCGGUAUCGACAGUAUUGCCUAUGGAUAUGUAAGCAUGCCGAAGCAAGAUUGUUUACUUCGUUAACAAAUAAUAAUCGAAUAAAUUUUACCUGGCAACACUAGACUUGCCAUGGCUGCCUAAUUCUAGGAAUUAGAACGCCAUUAUGCCGCAAGCUUGAAGUCUGAUACACAGCUAGCCGCAUAUCACAACUUUUCGGACUCGUCAAUGAUAUCUUUCCGAGUAUCAUUGAUUAAAUCUUUCGGAAUAAGGAACUUGUUAAGCUGGAUCUGAAGCUUCCCAGGUUCUCGAAAAUUUAAUUCAGCUCUAAGCAUGUAGAAAGCAUAUUUGUACUUUAUCUGGACCGGGGUUCGACUCCCCGCAGCUCCACAA